rnacentral:misc_RNA from 1 species
UUUCCGUAGGUGAACCUGCGGAAGGAUCAUUAUUGAAACUUGAAUCGUAGCAUCGAUAACUGUUGCUGACCGGUUAAAAGGUAUGUGCACGUUCGACGUGCUGCGUUCUAUUCAUCCACCUGUGCACCUUUGUAGACUUGAUUAACUUUCGCUCUCGAGCGGUUAGAAGGGUUGCUUUCGAGCUUCCUUUGUCUAUCAAGUCUAUGUCUAUAUAAUCUCUUGUAUGUCUAGAAUUUCUUGUUUAUGUGACGCAAGUCCUUUAAAUCUUAUACAACUUUCAACAACGGAUCUCUUGGCUCUC